ACCUGUGUGGGGCCCUCGACCAUAAUGCUGGUGGCUGAGUACUCAUCACUGACCACAGGAGCUCCGCUGCCAAAACUAGGUCCACUCACUCACCCUACGUACAUUAAGCAUUGACCUGAUGGCAGAAGUGGCAGGGGUUGUAGGAACAAAGACAUGCUAAGACAAGAUCCUACUGCAGAAAGGGGUCUGUGAGCCCAUGCUGAUCUCCAUGGCCUCAUUGGCUGCACCAUGGCAGGCAGGAGGUGUUGGUGAAGUCCCUCUAGAGAGCAGCCCUGAAGUCCUCCUUUACUCUGCAGAACCUGCUCAUCAAGCACUCGACAACUGCACUCCUCUGAAUUCCUGUGCAUUUUAUUUAUUCCCUUCCCAUGAUCCUCAUCACUUUCUACCUUGUACAACUAUUUGCUAUAGGCUUGUCUCUUCUUCUGUACUAGGCUUCCAGCUCCUUCAGACGAGGAUCCCAGCCCAGUUCACCUCCAUAUCCUUCAUAACACCCAGCAAAGGGCCUCACCCAUGGCAGGUUCUCAGUUUAGCAAA
rnacentral:lncRNA from 1 species